CAAGCAUGAUAGUGCCAGGUGGAGACCCAUGCAGCUACUCUGCCUAAAGUACUGCAUGCCUCUAGGUGGCCGUGAGCGCGGAUCUAAUCCGUAGUGAGCCCAAACGACCACCUGCCAAACCACCAAUGUUCAUGCAACGUGCCAUUGCAAGAGUCCCUCAAACACAAGCUAACACACUGCACAACGCUGGUGAACUAACACUCGAGAGGCUUGGCCUCAAUCUAUACUCUCUGCCCCGAGUUCGACUGUCACUGACAAAUUGCUAAACGAGACUCACACGCUGUAAGAGAUGGAAUAGAUAGGGUAUAUACAAGCAAACAUAAUAGCUAGAGGAGAGAAAACCCUAAAGAUCACAAGAAGUAGAUAUGUAUGGACGAGAAAGACUUACAACAUGUGACAUGACAUGUUCCAAAAGAUAGGAUGAGAUUGGAAGCCACCGGAGAACAUGAAUCAACACUCUAGGGCACUGAAAGGAUAGAACGAAUGAAAUCGUCAUAAAAAACGACACUUAGAUCUAUUCAGGCAUUAAAGUAAACACCUUGAGUGCAAGGGUUAGAGAACCAUACCCAAACAC
rnacentral:lncRNA from 1 species